rnacentral:lncRNA from 1 species
CCCAACUGAUAUUAUUUCACGGAUUUCACUUUCUUUGAUGGUGAAAACCUUGCCUAUUAAUUCCAUGUCCGACUAUUUUUUGGCGAGACAAAAAAAAUCAAUGCAGGCCAAAUCUGGAGCUUGUAUACAGGUUUCCUAACAUAAAUUUGCUGGCUGAACCUGGCAUAACUUACCAUUGAAUUUCCCUAAUAACUUAGCACUGUGUAAUGUGUUUUUUUGUUUUUUUUUUCAUUUUUCUUAUGAUUUACCAAGUAAAUUAACAUCCAAGUUCUAAUUUUGCUCAACUAGAAGUAGAACUCAUGCUCCUUUCAUCUUCAUAAUUAUCUAUUUUAUUAUUCUCCCUUUUCUCCUUGUUAGUUAGUAUUAUAUUUCGUAUCAUCUUCAUCAUUACCAUCGGUAAUAACAAUAGUAAUAUUUGAUUUGUCCUCAAAAAUCCUUCUGCAGGUCAUUCCUUUCCAUUUCCCUCCUGGUGAUACUUCAACUGAAAGAACAUUGUAUAUUGAUGGUACUACAGAGCAAAUUGAAAUAGCAAAGCAGCUUGGUUACGAGUGAGGUCAACUUUCUUUCUCUUUUCACGCACCUCCUAACUGCUGCAGCUAUUUGUUAUUUCUCAGUGUUGUUAAAAUCAUGUGGGUUUAAUUAUCAAUUUUUUUAUAUGUUAAUGUAUUUUUUGUCUCAGAACUAGUUACUUGACCUUCCUUUUCCAUUGUUUGCUUUUGAAACUCUUCUCUUUAUUUAUGAUAUACCCUAUAUUCUUGUCAAAUGUACAUGUCCAAAACGUUAUCUCAAUGGGUUGUCUUGUAAAACAAGGUGGUGAUGGAGCAGCAGCAGUAUGGCUUUGAGAUGAUUGUAUACCUUAUACAAUUGUGUGCUUGCUUCUGAGAUGUUUAGGGACGCACAACCAAUCUGAAAUUAUAUUUGUAAUUUGCGCGGUCUCUUUGUUUAGCUGCUAUGCUCUGUGUAGUUUCUCUGAUGAAGGUACUAGAAAUAUUUGAACAAUCAUAGUUAAAUACUGGCAAAUCCAUACUUCCAAUGGGAGGUUUAUAUACCCUAUCACAACGUCUUCACUACAUAUUAUACCGGUGCUUGUGGUGUUAUUGACAUAUCCUAGACCAUACUGUCUGUUGAUCAUUAUCUUGACAUAAGACCAAAUUAGUGUGAGUAACUAGUUCUGAGGCCUGCACACAUCAAUCCUGGAGGCAGAUUUGUUACUACCUAAUUUUAAUAUACUUGAUGCUGAUGGAUGAAAGAUAAAAUUAUGAACUACUCCCUCUGUUUCGGUAUAGAAGUCCCAUGUGUAUCAUUGAAGUAUACCAUUAGAAUAUAAUACAUACAUCCAGGAACAUGUGUGGUCUUUCUAUGUCGGAACAGAAGGAACUAGUCGGUGCAAACCUCUACGCAGGUGAUCUCUAUUAUUAAAGCAGAAUCGAACGUGAUUAUGGUUGGACCACCUCCUCCUAUCCAUCACCACAUGCUGCUGAUUUUCUUUCACUACGCCUCCCACUUCCACCUCCGGUUUACAGGAAAAAAUUGACCCCCAAACUCCCACAGGUACUGGCAUCCACGCCAGAAAGAUCGGCGCUAAAAUAACCCACGCGUAGAGAAAACGCCUCCACCCACCUAUGACCAAAAAAAUAAGGACGCUGGUACCCAACGGGCACGCACUGUGCGGUAGGAGCUCGCGGCCGCCCAUUUUAGGAAGAUGCCCACGUACGCCCCCCCCCCCCCCCCCCCCCCCCCCCGAUCAAAAAAAGGAAGUUUGCCAACAGAAAGAAAAAAAAGAAGAAUGACAGUGAUCCCUCCCCCACGCACGUGAUCUCGCCUACCACCUCGCAGCCAAGCAAAAAUCACUGGAGAACGCACGUUCGUCUGCAACUCUGUGUUGCGGAUGAGGCCACGCUUUGAAGAAACGACUGCAAGAAAUUGUGAGGAGCUGGGAAAAUUUCUCCCCCAUGAGUCACACCCAGGUAAGGAGCUCCAUUACCACUUGAGUAAUACAAAGUUCACACACAAAACAGAAGGACCACCAUUUUUGGCAAGAGAAACAAAGGCAUGGUUGUGUUUAAAUUGUGAGCUAGUGAAACUCUCUGUUCCUCCCAUAUGAUGUACUAGUUUGCAAAAUGUCUCCUGUACACCCAUGAGUUGCAAACUUGAUGUGGAUGGAUCUUGCAAAAUUUUUUUUGCAUGUUUCUUGCCUCUCCCUCCCAUGUUGAACCUGGAUGCUAGAGAAGAUGCUCAGCGAUUUGUGUUGUUUAUCAUCUUGCCUAUUGUAUUGCACCUGGCCUUUGUAAAAGAAAUGAGAACAUAUUAUUUUGAUUAUAAAAAAUCGGGGAAACAAAAUAUUGCAGGGUUCAAUAGGGAAGAAAUGUUCAAUACAAAAAACACUAAGUCGCCCAAUUGAUUUGCAAAAAAAGGUGUUUUCCUUCCCUCCCACUUCAUUACUGAUUGUCUUCCCCCUGAUUCGUACUUUAGAGGUCGGCGACUACCUAGUUUAGAGGUAGGGGACUUCGUGCGUUUGGUGAUUGUGUUACUUUGCCCCCUGCCCCACACCACGUUUAGAUUGGGCCCAACCCCCCGGGCUUUCGACGUCUUAUGUCGGAUGGAUGUGAGCGACUAUGUUGGUAGGCGACUCCAUGCCCCCAUGAGUUUUGGUCGUGUGCGACUUGGUUAGCUUGGUUAGACUAAAUUGGUGAAAGGAAGAAAAGAGAAAAAGUGAGGCGCCUACAUAGUGAUGAGUAGGCAACUCCAUGCGUCGUGGCUGUCCUGGUGUGCCCCCCCCCCUCACACACACACAACAACUCCCUUGUUUUUUCACGACUUGUGCCCGUCACGGUGAGACUUUGCUAUGGGAUGAUGGGCGACUCCAUCCACCUAUUGAGUUUCGUGGUGUGAUGUGAGUAUGGUGUUCUUGCUUUAAGAAAAGAAAACCAAGGCGACUAUACGUUGUGACCGUAUGCGACUAUAUAGUUUGGACAUGAGCGACUUGGUGUGGGCUACUUAGUUGGGUGAGUUUGGUUCAUUAGGUGCUUGUAAAAAGAAAAUUGGGCAGUGAUACGACGGUCGAAAGAAGACGACUGCCUAGUUGAGAGGCAUGCGACUCCAUACAUUGCAUGCCUUAUGUCGGUAUGGAUGUGGGCGACUACUUAGUUGGGUGAGUUUGGUUCAUUAGGUGCUUGUAAAAAAAAUUGGGCAGUGAUACGACGGUCGAAAGAAGGCGACUGCCUAGUUUAGAGGCAUGCGACUCCAUACAUUGCAUGCCUUAUGUCGGUGUGGAUGUGGGCGACUAUGUUAUUGCAUGGUAGGCGUCUCCAUCUUCUCAUGUGUUUUGGUCGCGUGCAACUUGGUAAGCUGGUUAAUUUAAGUUUUUUGCUUAUUUGUGGAAGGAAGAAAAAGGGAAGAGAAAACGGAAGGCGGCUACAUAGUGAUUGUAGGCGACUCCGAACGCGCGGUGGCCGUGGGAGACUUAGUUCAAACCGGUCGGCUCGUUCUGUAGGACGGGCAUGCGACUAUGUAUUGGGGUUUAGGCAACUCGAUCUGUGGAUUAGGCGUGUGGGCAACAUGGUGUAUUGGAUUUGGUCGCGUUGGGCGUGGAUGGUAGGUGACUCCGUCCGUUCGGUGGUCGUGGGUGACUAAGUUCAACCCGGUCUGCUUGGUUUGUCGGAUGGGUGGGGCGACUACGAAUUGAGGUUUAGGCGACUCUGUUCGUGUAUUAGAUAUGUGGGCAACUUAGUGUAUUAGAUUUGGUCAAGUUGGGCGUGGGUGGUAGGCGAUUCAUCGUGCGUGUGUUGGCCGUGGGCGACUUAGUUCAACCUGGUCGGCUCAGUUUAUAGGAAGCGCAAGGCAACUAUGAAUUGGGGUUUAAGCGACUUCAGCUGUGGAUUAGGGCGUGUGGUCGACUUAGUGAUUGGAUUUGGCUGAGUUGGGUGUGGGUGCGGUGACUAUAUGGUUGGAUGCUAGGCGACUCCCGUGUGGUCUUGGCCGUGGGCGACUUAGUUCAAACCGGACGGUUCGUUUUGUAGGACGGGCGGGCGACUAUGUAUUGGGGUUUAGGCAACUCGAUCCAUAUGUGGAUUAGGCGUGUGGGCGACUUAAUGUAUUGGAUUUGGUCGAGUUGGGCGUGGAUGGUAAGCGACCCCGUCCGUUUGGUGGACGUGGGUGACUAAGUUCAACUCGGUCUGCUUGGUUCAUGGGAUGGGUUGGGCCACUAUGAAUUGGGUGUGGGUGCGGUGACUAUAUGGUUGGAUGCUAGGCGACUCCCGUGUGGUCAUGGCCGUGGGCGACUUAGUUCAAACCGGACGGUUCGUUUUGUAGGACGGGCGGGCGACUAUGUAUUGGGGUUUAGGCAACUCGAUCCAUAUGUGGAUUAGGCGUGUGGGCGACUUAGUGUAUUGGAUUUGGUCGAGUUGGGCGUGGAUGGUAAGCGACCCCGUCCGUUUGGUGGCCGUGGGUGACUAAGUUCAACUCGGUCUGCUUGGUUCAUGGGAUGGGUUGGGCCACUAUGAAUUGAGGCUUAAGCGACUUUGUUUAUGUAUUACACAUGUGGGUGACUUAGCGUAUUAGAUUUGGUCAAGUUGGGCAAGGGUGGCAGGUGAUUCCUCAUGUGUGUGUUGCGACUUAGUUCAGCCUGGUCGGCUCAGUUUGCAGGAAGUGCGAGGCAACUAUGAAUUGUGGUUUAAGCGACUUCAUGUGUGGAUUAGGCAUGUGGGCGACUUGUGCUUGAUUUGGUCGAGUUGGGCAUGGGUGCGUCAACUAUAUAAUGGAGUGUUAGUCGACUCCAUACAUUUGGUGGUCGUUGGUGACUUGGUUCAACCUGGUCAGCUUGUGUGUGGGACGGACCGGGCGACUAUUAAUUAGGGUUUAGGGGACUAUUUGUGGAUUAGGCAUGUGGCCGACUUAGUGAUUGGAUUUGGCUGAGUUGGAUGUGGGUGUGCUGACUACAUGGUGGGGUGGUAGGCGACUCUCGUGUCUGAGGUGGUCGUGGGCGAGUUGGUUCAAACCGGUCAGCUCAUUUUCUAGGAUGGGCGGGCGACUAUGUAUUGGGGUUUAGGAGACUUCAUCUAUGGAUUAGGCAUGUGGAAGACCUAGUGUAUUGGAUUUAUUCGCGUUGGGCGUGGAUGAUAGGCGACUUCGUCCGUUCGGUGGUCGUGGGUGACUAAGUUCAACACGGUCUGCUUGGUUUGUGGGAUGGGUGGGGCGACUAUGAAUUGAGGUUUAGGCGACUCCGUUCGUGUAUUAGACAUGUGGGCGACUUAGUGUAUUAAAUUUGGUCAAGUUGGGCAUGGGUGGUAGGCGAUUCCUCAUGGGUGCAUUGGCCAUGGGCGACUUAGUUCAACCCGAUCGGCUCAGUUUGUAGGAAGUGCAAGUCAACUAUGAAUUGGGGUUUAAGCGACUUCAUCUCUGGAUUAGCAUGUGGGCAACUAAGUGUAUUGGAUUUGGUCGAGUUGGGUGUGGGGUGUGGCGACUAUAUAAUGGAGUGGUAGCCGACUCCAUGCAUUUGGUGAUCACGGGUGACUUGGUUUAAUCAGGUUAGCUUGGUGUGUGGGACGGGCGUGGCGAGUAUUAAUUAGGGUUUAGGGGACUCCAUUUGUGGACUAGGCAUGUUGUCGACUUAGUGAUUGGAUUUGGCUGAGUUGGGCGUGGUUGUGGUGACUAUAUGGUGGGAUGGUAGUCGACUCCCACGUGUAUGGUGGUUGUGGGUGUCUUAGUUCAACCCGGUUGGCUUGGUUUGUGGGAUGUGCGGGGCAACUAUGAAUCGGGGGUUUAGGCGACUCCAUCCAUGGGUUAGGCAUGUGGACAACCUAGUGUAGUGGAUUUUGCAGUGUUGGGUACGGAUGCGGUGACUACAUAAUGGGAUGAUAGACGACUUUGGCGUUCGGUGGCCAAACUAGCCCAAUAUUAAGCGAAAAAUGCCCGAGAGACAUCCUUCCUCGCUUUCCCGUCACCACUAUAGUCUCCCUAAACAACAUUAACACAUGGCCAAAAACUAGUGAAAAAGAUCCAGCAUCCACUGGCCGAAACCAUGGAGGUGACUCACCUUGUGAUAUCCAAGAUCCAGCAUCCUUUUGCUCCAUAGUUUUUUUGUGCACACGGUCGACCAUCACGCCGUGCACGCAUUUGUUUCCUCUGUUGCGCCUGUCGAUGCAUACAGAGCAGAAGUGAUCGCGGGUGACUUGGUUUAACCAGGUUAGCUUGGUGUGUGGGACGGGCGUGGCGACUAUUAAUUAGGGUUUAGGGGACUCCAUUUGUGGACUAGGCAUGUUGUCGACUUAGUGAUUGGAUUUGGCUGAGUUGGGCGUGGUUGUGGUUACUAUAUGGUGGGAUGGUAGUCGACUCCCACGUGUAUGGUGGUCGUGGGUGUCUUAGUUCAACCCGGUUGGCUUGGUUUGUGUGAUGUGCGGGGCAACUAUGAAUCGGGGGUUUAGGCGACUCCAUCCAUGGAUUAGGCAUGUGGACAACCUAGUGUAGUGGAUUUGGCAGUGUUGGGUACGAAUGCGGUGACUACAUAAUGGGAUGAUAGACGACUUUGGCGUUCGGUGGCCAAACUAGCCAAAUAUUAAGCGAAAAAUGCCCGAGAGACAUCCUUCCUCGCUUUCCCGUCACCACUAUAGUCUCCCUAAACAACAUUAACACAUGGCCAAAAACUAGUGAAAAAGAUCCAGCAUCCACUGGCCGAAACCAUGGAGGUGACUCACCUUGUGAUAUCCAAGAUCCAGCAUCCUUUUGCUCCAUAGUUUUUUUGUGCACACGGUCGACCAUCACGCCGUGCACGCAUUUGUUUCCUCUGUUGCGCCUGUCGAUGCAUACAGAGCAGAAGUGAUCGCGGGUGACUUGGUUUAACCAGGUUAGCUUGGUGUGUGGGACGGGCGUGGCGACUAUUAAUUAGGGUUUAGGGGACUCCAUUUGUGGACUAGGCAUGUUGUCGACUUAGUGAUUGGAUUUGGCUGAGUUGGGCGUGGUUGUGGUGACUAUAUGGUGGGAUGGUAGUCGACUCCCACGUGUAUGGUGGUUGUGGGUGUCUUAGUUCAACCCGGUUGGCUUGGUUUGUGUGAUGUGCGGGGCAACUAUGAAUCGGGGGUUUAGGCGACUCCAUCCAUGGAUUAGGCAUGUGGACAACCUAGUGUAGUGGAUUUGGCAGUGUUGGGUACGAAUGCGGUGACUACAUAAUGGGAUGAUAGACGACUUUGGCGUUCGGUGGCCAAACUAGCCAAAUAUUAAGCGAAAAAUGCCCGAGAGACAUCCUUCCUCGCUUUCCCGUCACCACUAUAGUCUCCCUAAACAACAUUAACACAUGGCCAAAAACUAGUGAAAAAGAUCCAGCAUCCACUGGCCGAAACCAUGGAGGUGACUCACCUUGUGAUAUCCAAGAUCCAGCAUCUUUUUGCUCCACAGUUUUUUUGUGCACACGGUCGACCAUCACGCCGUGCACGCAUUUGUUUCCUCUGUUGCGCCUGUCGAUGCAUACAGAGCAGAAGUGAUGCAUAGAGAACAUAAUGUUUCACGUUUUUUACUUCGGUGUUUGCCUCCUUGGGCGGCUGCUCGUAUGUCUAGUUUUGAAAAUAAGAAAAAAACAGUAGAAAAUGACUUCUCUGUCUAGCGCGUAAUUGCCUGACUGAUGCAUGUAAGAUUGCAAGCAAAUUUCAAAUAUUUUUUUCCCCGUAUGAUGACUGAAAAUGCUCCUGCUAUAUUACCCCUGGGCUGAUUAGCUGAUAUGUCAUUUACAAAGUCAUCUCAUCUUGACAGGAAAAUAUCAUCUAUUUAGUAUACAUAAUUGCCUUAACUGAUGCAUGUAAAAUUGCCAGAUAAAAUCAAUAAAAUAGUUCUUGCAUGAUAAACAAAAAAAUGUUUAUUCGUUGCAUGCAAAAAUGUCUUAUCUCUUAAUCCUCCCAUGAAUCCACAUGGUUACACCCUGUCUGAAUUCCCCACAAAAUUGCCCAGCCCACCACAAAAUCCCCUCUGAUGGAUCGGUAACUCGCCUCUCAAUCCUUCCCGUGGAUCCACGUAAUUGACUAGCUACGUGAAUGCCCCUCAAAUUUGCCAGCAAUGCAAACAAAAUCUGCAGUGAUGGAUAUGAAAAAUUGCCUCUCAAUCUCCACAUGAAUCCACAUAACUCCCUAGCCCCUGGUUUUUGUUGGGACUUACCUUGCGACUGUUGAUUAUAAGCGGCUUAGCUUUGUCGCCGCGCGGACUUGCCUCCUCCCCUGCCGCGGGCGCUCGAGCUGCUGGCGGCGAGCUCCGUCACCACGCGGAUGCGUCUCCUCCCCUGCGCGGUAGCGCGGCGACCUCCUCCGCUACAACUAUCGAUAUCGAGCGGCCGACAACCCGCCGUGGAUCCACCUCGACUCCUCCAUACCUCAUCACUGCCGCAUCAACACCGAUAUGCGGCGAAAAUCUUACCACUGUGGCGGAAAGAGGAAAAGGGCUGGAGGAGGAGGACGAACAGAUGGGUGGGGAAAAUGGAGUUUCAGAAGGAAAAAAUCCCAAGGAAAACGACAAACCCUGCCGUUUGGGUAACUGCUGUAUCACGUCGCGCUUGUUUGUCUCGUACAGAUCCUACGACUCUCGUGCAGCCGCUCGGAGCAGAAGGAUCGCGCACGCGCACUCCUUAGGACUUGGGAAAAAAUAAAUCAAAAAGGAGAACCGCCACACACGUCCACUGGUCCAUGUCACCCAUAUUUCCCAAGCCCCUGACUCCCAUUCCCUCGCAGCCGCCUCGAGCCCUUGACCCCGUACUCUUUAGCGCACCACCUCGAUCCGCCGCCGUUCGCCUCAUGGUCCGCCUCGUGGUCGCGGUGGCCGUGGAUCUCGUCGUGGACGAUGCCACCCCAGCGCCACUCUCCUCUGCACGCCGAUCCGCGCUUCUCCACCGCAAUCACGAUGUCGACGUCUAGGUUUCCGUCGCGCCACCCAUCGGAGGCUCGUCGCCAUCACCAAUUCACCAUCACUUUUCUGUAUGUCGUGCCGUCCCUGUACGCCCUGCUCGCGUUCGCCUCCGCCGCGCGCACCUCUACUGCUAUCGUGGCAGCUUGAUGGAUUUCUACUCCGACGAUGACCCACACCCAGAGUUCGAGGAAGGUCUCCGAGAGGACCUCAAACUGGUCCACUUCCCCUGUAUCAUCACGAGCGCAACAUCGACGCUGCUCUCGCACAUGUCUCCUCCUACCUCGCUGCCGGUAGGCAAUUUUGGCUUUCUGAGUUUCUUCAGCAAUGUUAGACGCAUGGUUAAGCAUGUGAUUUUGGUUCUGGCUAGCUUGAUCACCUGUCAUGUGUGAUGAUGCACAACGCCCAAUGGAGUGCCUCUACUUGUCAAUAUGUUUUUUGGAAGUUAAUUUCGCAGGCGCCCCUAAUUUCUUGCUUAGUGUGAUCAAUUAGUUUUUGUUGUAUGUUACUUAAUGUUAUUUCCUCGCGAUUUUCACUGCAAAAAUUACUUCUCUAUGAAUGUGGUUUAGCCGUGGUCAGGUCCAUGUGCUAUGGAUGCUAAAUCUUGAGUUGUGAUUUCAACAUGUUUAUUAGGCGGAUGCCGUGAUAGUUGCCCGUACUAUGACGGUGAUCAUUGAUCCGUGUAACUGAUACUAAGACGGUGUAUGGUUCUUGAGGUGUGUCCUUUGUCCCCAGUGUAGGCUUGUAGGGGCGUCCCAAACUCGCUGACAGCAAUAAGUUGCUAAGUGAAGUGAUUAUGUUCUCUUUCAAGAGACGGGCUCCUUCUUAUGUCUCUUAAUGGGCAGGUUAUGUUGGAUUUGGUGCUGAUUGGUGGAGAUUUAGCAUCUGUGUGUUUAAUAGUGUGGUUGUUUUUGUCUUUCACUCCAACAACUCGUGUUGUGCCCUUUGUAUCUGAUUUAUUGACUGAAUUUUCUAAUUAAUUAGAAAAUCUUCCUUGCCCCUUUCAAGGUGCUAUAUGAAAAAAAUCGAAAUAUAUUUCAAUAGUUUUAUAGACCUUCUAAAUUACAGGGAUGUUCAAUCGAUAUUUGUAUGUCUAAUUUUAUUUGCCCGUGGCAACACAUGGGCAUUCAACUAGUCAGUCUACACACUUCAACGAUGGAUCGUGCACUGUAGUAGCUGGUAUUUAGGCUAUUGAUAUUUUUGCUCAUUCAGGGGAUAAUUCUUGAUGCUUAAUUUUCAGACCAUUCUAUCUGUUGCUAACACCACCCUCUGGGAGCAACAUGUAACAAAUAAGAAUGUUACAGUUUAUUGACUGGGCAAGGAAGUUUGUAUGUGCUAUGUAUAGUUUGGAAAGAUUAUGCAGGAUAUUUCGCAUGAAUCUAUUAUCUUUGGUUUGUUUGUAUAUAUUUUCUCCCUCUGUUGACUCUUCAGGUUACCAUGACCAAAAGCUUCCUUACACUUUGCUUAAAUAUUUCCUUUGGCGUUCUUCUGUUCACCUAUAAUAUAUUUUUUGGAGAGACUUGCCGAAAGAACUGCUGUUGG